UACAGAGGUGGCAAGCGUUGUUCGGAAUUACUGGGCGUAAAGGGCGCGUAGGCGGCCCACUAAGUCAGACGUGAAAUCCCCCGGCUUAACCUGGGAACUGCGUCUGAUACUGGAGGGCUUGAGUAUGGGAGAGGGAUGUAGAAUUCCAGGUGUAGCGGUGAAAUGCGUAGAUAUCAUUUGGAACGCCAAUGGUGAAAACAGGUAACUGGGAGUGUGCUGACGCUGAGACACGAAAGCCAGGGGAGCGAACGGG
rnacentral:rRNA from 1 species